UACGUAGGGUGCAAGCGUUGUCCGGAAUUAUUGGGCGUAAAGAGCGUGUAGGCGGCCCGAUUAGUCCGCUGUGAAAGUCCAGGGCUCAACCCUGGAAUGCCGGUGGAUACUGUCGGGCUAGAGUCCGGAAGGGGCGAGUGGAAUUCCUGGUGUAGCGGUGAAAUGACGCAGAUAUCAGGAGGAACACCAAUGGCGAAGGCAGCUCGCUGGGACGUGACUGACGCUGAGACGCGAAAGCGUGGGGGAGCAAACAGG
rnacentral:rRNA from 1 species